rnacentral:hammerhead_ribozyme from 1 species
AUCCAGCUGACGAGUCCCAAAAUAGGACGAAACUCGCGUUCUGGAU